GUGCAUUUGGAUUAUGAAUGCUGUUUCCUCCAGUGGGUGACACCAAGCAGGUCCCGCAGGGAAAUCCAGGAAACGCUAACUUCUACUCAUUCUUCUUUCCUACCCCAGUUUUCUUGGUGGAUCAGUGUAGAAGGAAACUGCUUCUUUCAUUUCUCAGGAAGAACUGCUUUAAGAGGGGCAGAUGGGAGCACCUACGAAGUGAAAUACGGAAACUGUCUCUACAUGGCAGAAGCAUCUCCCUGGGUGCUGGUGAAUUUUAUACUUUUUAAAAGGCAUGUUUUACUUUGGAAGCAGAAGCAAUUACUUUUAAUUGUGCUUCUCAGCAUGAAAAACUUACAAAAGGCAUGUUUUUCUCCUCCUCAAAGUCAGACCUGUAUAUUAAGAACAGAAACACUCCAAUACACACUAAAAAACAGGCCGUAGUUGUCUUGGGAAUAUAGAGCAGCUCUGCUAAGUAUGACUGCAUAAAGAUGUUAUGUAUGGAGUUGCCUGAGGUUUAUCUUGGCUGUCUUAACUUUGAUGAGAU
rnacentral:lncRNA from 1 species